rnacentral:rRNA from 1 species
GCUAAGGUCCCAAAGUCAUGGUUAAGUGGGAAACGAUGUGGGAAGGCCCAGACAGCCAGGAUGUUGGCUUAGAAGCAGCCAUCAUUUAAAGAAAGCGUAAUAGCUCACUGGUCGAGUCGGCCUGCGCGGAAGAUGUAACGGGGCUAAACCAUGCACCGAAGCUGCGGCAGCGACACUAUGUGUUGUUGGGUAGGGGAGCGUUCUGUAAGCCUGUGAAGGUGUGCUGUGAGGCAUGCUGGAGGUAUCAGAAGUGCGAAUGCUGACAUAAGUAACGAUAAAGCGGGUGAAAAGCCCGCUCGCCGGAAGACCAAGGGUUCCUGUCCAACGUUAAUCGGGGCAGGGUGAGUCGACCCCUAAGGCGAGGCCGAAAGGCGUAGUCGAUGGGAAACAGGUUAAUAUUCCUGUACUUGGUGUUACUGCGAAGGGGGGACGGAGAAGGCUAUGUUGGCCGGGCGACGGUUAUCCCGGUUUAAGCGUGUAGGCUGGUUUUCCAGGCAAAUCCGGAAAAUCAAGGCUGAGGCGUGAUGACGAGGCACUACGGUGCUGAAGCAACAAAUGCCCUGCUUCCAGGAAAAGCCUCUAAGCAUCAGGUAACAUCAAAUCGUACCCCAAACCGACACAGGUGGUCAGGUAGAG